AUGUUUUUUAGAAAGAUGGGAUUUUUAUGUUGAAACUUUUUCAAUUACCAAAUUAGGGAGUUAAAUUUGGAGUCUUUAUGAUGGUGAUAGUUGUGAUUCUUGUAGAAAUUUGUGUUUGAUUUAUGAGAAGGUUAGGAACCCAAAUGAGAUCAGGGUUUUUGGUCUUGAAAUUUGGUAUGGUAUAAACCCCAAAAACACACACCAACACGAAAAGAACUAAUCAUUUGGAUUUGUGGGGUUGAGUUUGUUAUAGCUAAAAAAGAAUGCAACUUGCAAAGUUCUUAACUCAACAGCAUUCCAUCUCCUGUAGUGUUUUCUGCAACCAAAAUAAAGCAAUUGUUUAUUUUUGAAAGAAGUUUGCUCUUUUUUGGGGCGUUUUCUUUGGAUUAG
rnacentral:lncRNA from 1 species